AACUCAAGAAUUUUGUGUUCUUGAGAGUUUUGAUGAAAAAGUGUUCAAUCUUUACUUUUUCGAUGUUUAUGAUGUAGAUCUGAGAAAUGGACUGUCCUUUUGUGUUUAUCCAUGUUUGUUAUGCUUGAAUACAAACUCUUUUGGGAUUUAUAACAUGAAAAAUGGGAUUUUUGGGUGAUUUGGUGUAGAAAAUGCCAGAAUUUUGCCCCAGGCGAAAAUGUGUCAGUGAGCAACCAGUUCAUUCUGCAGUUAUUUCGCCCCAGGCGAAAAUGUUUCGCCCCAGGCGAAAAUUGAUCAGUGAGCAAACCAGUACUUCAGGAAUUAUUUCGCCCCAGGCGAAAAUGUUUCGCCUCAGGCGAUAAUGUUGCAGAUUUCACAAAUUUUCAUCUGCUGUCUUCCUUUGCAUGUAUUUUCAAAUCAGUGUCUUAUUCUUACAUGAUUGUUGAUGCAUGUUGAUGCUUAUAAUGCUC
rnacentral:lncRNA from 1 species